rnacentral:rRNA from 1 species
GACGAACGCUGGCGGCGUGCUUAACACAUGCAAGUCGAACGGUGAAGCUCCAGCUUGCUGGAGUGGAUCAGUGGCGAACGGGUGAGUAACACGUGAGCAACCUGCCCCUGACUCUGGAAUAAGCGCUGGAAACGGCGUCUAAUACUGGAUACGAGAAGGGUCCGCAUGGGCACUUUCUGGAAAGUUUUUCGGUUGGGGAUGGGCUCGCGGCCUAUCAGCUUGUUGAUGAGGUAAUGGCUCACCAAGGCGACGACGGGUAGCCGGCCUGAGAGGGCGACCGGCCACACUGGGACUGAGACACGGCCCAGACUCCUACGGGAGGCAGCAGUGGGGAAUAUUGCACAAUGGGCGAAAGCCUGAUGCAGCGACGCCGCGUGAGGGAUGACGGCCUUCGGGUUGUAAACCUCUUUCAGCAGGGAAGAAGCGAAAGUGACGGUACCUGCAGAAGAAGCACCGGCUAACUACGUG